UUCUACUUCGGCAGCACAUAUACUAAAAUUGGAACGAUACAGAGAAGAUUAGCAUGUCCCCUGCGCAAGAAGUUAGCAUAGUGUCUAGAUCCAUGGAAGUCAUGC